CUCUCUCAGUGUCCUUCUCUCUGAGGGACCAAGCAGAGAUAAAAGUGAAGGGGAACCCCAGAUUGUAGCAAGGACAGGGGCAAAGGGACACCCAGAGUCAGAGGAGGAAAAAGGAGACACCAAGAAAAGACAGCCGAGAAAAGGAAAAAGAAAAAGAAAACGGGGGGACCCCUCAUUCCAAGCCCAGCGACGGGAGGAAAUGCUACUCUCACCCAGACGGGUCAGCUGAUCCUGAGCAGCGUUGUGCCCCACACAGAAACAGUGUUGAAUCACCACAUGCUCCAAGCCAUUCUGAUCCUCAGGAAAGAUGGACCCAGCAGCGUCUACAAAAGCGUGGAGUGCAGGGCCCUCUCAUCCAGGCAUGACCAAACCAGCCGCACUUCAUGGCCCCCGGCUCUGGCUGCUGUCAGUU